rfam:Pseudomonas sp. StFLB209 DNA, complete genome.
ACGUGAGUUGGGUCCGGGCCUGUAUUGGGCUCAACGAGUCUGGCCAGGCUCAGGAGGGUUUGGCCGGGCGUCCUCAAGAGUGCGGAA